rnacentral:rRNA from 1 species
UACGGGGGGGGCAAGCGUUGUUCGGAAUUACUGGGCGUAAAGGGCUCGUAGGUGGCCAACUAAGUCAGACGUGAAAUCCCUCGGCUUAACCGGGGAACUGCGUCUGAUACUGGAUGGCUUGAGUUUGGGAGAGGGACGCGGAAUUCCAGGUGUAGCGGUGAAAUGCGUAGAUAUCUGGAGGAACACCGGUGGCGAAGGCGGCGUCCUGGACCAAUACUGACACUGAGUGAGCGAAAGCGUGGGGAGCAAACAGG